CAUGUAAAAAGCUAGAGUAAAAUUUUAAAAAAGAAUAUGCAUUAGAGUAGCUGUAUAAUUGACAAUAACAACAUAAUUUGUUAUUGAAGCCAUUGUUUUCUAAGACUUUCAUACAGCAUGUCAUGGCUUCCAUUAUGGUGUCUCUUUGCGUGUUUUUCCUCUCACCGUGAUCUGUAGGUCGCAGUCGGGGGCCAGCUGUGGGAAUCCUGGGAUCUGAGGCAUGACUCCUAUGGUGAAGGUCUGAGCAUCGCUCUGAACGACUGGUUCUGCCUCUGUGGAAACCUGCACAGACAAACAGAUGUUUCAUCUCAGCUGCCAGAAGCCAAAACAAGGACAUGUGUGAAACUGGUCCUCUGUGGACAGGGUGCAUCAGCACUGACCUGGAACAGGAAGGAGUCACCGCUGCUGCCGGUGCCAAAGUGGCGGUACCAGACUGCACCGUCAUUCACGUCUUGCUGCGUGAAGGAAGUCGUUGCUGUAAAGCUGCGGUCGUCUGUUAGCGAGGGAAGCCAACCCUCUGAGGGGCCAUCAGCCGGCAUGGACACCAGCAACACCUCACCUGAACGGAGAAGGUGAGUAAGAUGUUAUAUUUGCCUUAAAAGCAAAAUUAGAGCUGAAAUUUAUGUUUAAUAAAGUUUAGAAAUUAAAUUUGAAGACUCUUUUAAAUUAUGUACUAACUGUUUGUAAAUCUACAAUAUUACAAUCAUUCAGCACAUAAAACAGCUUGUUUGGAAAUAUUAAAGGAAAGUGUGACUGAGUGUUAAGGUACCAUAUUUGGGUUGCCCCUCUGAGGGGAGGAUGCUGUAGACAAUGUUAUCAGUGCUGACUCCUUUGAAAUCUGUCUGCAGGUACUUUUUAUCCAGUCGCACCAUGCCUCCCUCUUUCACCCAGGUCACUGGAAUGGACAACAUGUGAGGAGAGUCUCCAGGCUGAAAAAACACACAAACAUCAAAAUAUUUUAACAUUACCUCUGUGGGAAACAUUAUAGACCAGAGAAGACUGUGAUUU
rnacentral:lncRNA from 1 species